CGGCUCCAAAAUCGUCGUAAAAAGGCUCUCCAGCGGCUCAUCUGGUGGUGGUUGCC
rnacentral:sRNA from 1 species